rnacentral:rRNA from 1 species
AACGAACGCUGGCGGCAGGCUUAACACAUGCAAGUCGAACGGAUCCUUCGGGAUUAGUGGCAGACGGGUGAGUAACGCGUGGGAACGUACCCUUUGCUACGGAAUAACUCAGGGAAACUUGAGCUAAUACCGUAUGUGCCCUACGGGGGAAAGAUUUAUCGGCAAAGGAUCGGCCCGCGUUGGAUUAGCUAGUUGGUGGGGUAAUGGCCUACCAAGGCGACGAUCCAUAGCUGGUCUGAGAGGAUGAUCAGCCACACUGGGACUGAGACACGGCCCAGACUCCUACGGGAGGCAGCAGUGGGGAAUAUUGGACAAUGGGCGCAAGCCUGAUCCAGCCAUGCCGCGUGAGUGAUGAAGGUCUUAGGAUUGUAAAGCUCUUUCACCGGUGAAGAUAAUGACGGUAGCCGGAGAAGAAGCCCCGGCUAACUACGUG